rnacentral:rRNA from 1 species
GUAGGUGGCAAGCGUUGUCCGGAAUUAUUGGGCGUAAAGCGCGCGCAGGCGGUUCUUUAAGUCUGACGUGAAAGCCCACGGCUCAACCGUGGAGGGUCAUUGGAAACUGGAGAACUUGAGUACAGGAGAGGAAAGCGGAAUUCCACGUGUAGCGGUGAAAUGCGUAGAGAUGUGGAGGAACACCAGUGGCGAAGGCGGCUUUCUGGUCUGUAACUGACGCUGAGGCGCGAAAGCGUGGGGAGCAAACAGGGAUUAGAUACCCUGGUAGUCCACGCCGUAAACGAUGAGUGCUAAGUGUUAGGGGGUUUCCCGCCCCUUAGUGCUGCAGCUAACGCAUUAAGCACUCCGCCUGGGGAGUACGGCCGCAAGGCUG